UGUAUCCACAAAAAAAAAAAAAAAACAAUAAUGCACCCCAGCUCUCAGAACUACAUGGAGUAAACAAAAAAGUAGUGUUUAUGCACACUUAUAUAGGAUGGCCUGUGUGUGAAGUGCUUGUCUUUCCUUGAUGGUAAAGGGAGUUUCAAACCUUAAAAUUUUAUUAUGAACCAAAAUGCAAUACCAACUUCAAAAUAAGCUACAGCUUGCUGGAGUGGUCCAGCUGUAUAAUUUCUAAGACUUUUGUACAAAGUCAAGCCCUUUCCUUAGCCAUUCCACACCAUCAAAUGACCUGCAGGAUGGCAUAAGAGUUUGAAUCCACAUACUUUUUUUUAAUCUAUACUUAACACAAUCAUUAAAAGGCAGUAGGUGCAUAAACAUUUGUUUACUCCAUGUAGUUCUGAGCUGUACAUUUUGAUUUUCUCAAAUACAUCAAGGUAAGUGCACAAAGUUCUCUCUCUGUUUCGCACACACACAAUAUAAUAUGCUGUUAUACCCCAUAUAGCUUCAUUUACAAGUCAGAAACUAAGCUUUUUUUGCAAAAGCCCAUCUAAAGGGUUCAUGGUCCCACAUAGUGAUCAACUGGAGUAACAAAUUUUACCUCUUCCCAACAGAGAAAACCACAAAACAAGAAUGCAUGAUUAUAUGGUGUCAUGGCUUUGCAAUCAAAAUGUCAUUAUAAUAGAAGUCAAUGGGGCAAAAACAGCCACCAAUAAUAAAAUGGAUAAUUUUUUUUUCUAAUGUUGCAUAAAAACUAAAAGUGCAUAAAAGCCAAUGAUGUUACUAAUCUUUUACAUACCCAAGACUGUAAUAAAAAGUAACAAAAAAAUCCAGUCACAAUACUUUUAUAUUGAAAGUGACAAUUUAUGAACUUGCCACUUAAAGAGUUGAAAUCUUGGAUCGUUUUAAAAAUGUAGUAGUUUUCAUUAGGACUGAGGUUGAUUGAUAGAUUCAUGCAAAAAUAAAAAAUAAAUAGAGACAUUUUUACAGCAGUUUAAUGAAGUUGAUGUUUUUAUCCUGAACAUAACAAAAAGGUAGUGAAUUUGAACAAUGCACAAGGGUUAAACAUUUACUUCAACAAUAUACUUCAAACUCUUUUUAAUGGUUACAAAUAGUUGCCUUACCUCAGCUUGCAGUCUUUAACCAGUGCACCACCACACAUAAAAGAAAAAAAUGGGUAUACUUGUCAGGCAUGCUUUGUUAUACAGUACAUUUACUUCAGCAGUAUAUUCUAAGUGCAUUUUAAUAAAGUUCAAGAAGUUUGUCAUACCUCAACUUUGUCUUUUACCAGUGUACCACCACAUGCAAAAAAGUGAUAAGUUAAGCAUUUUAGGAACUUAACAUACAUUUAAAAAGUACAUUCAAAUUAUUUUUACAUAUACAAGAAUUAUAAAGGUUAAAUCAACUCACACUCUUGUCAAUUCACCAGCACACAUAAAAAGUAGUACGGUUUAGCAUAUAUUCAAGUUACACAACUUUUCAUAGUUAAUUAUAAACUCUUUAUUAAGCUUUAUCAAUUAAGAAGACCAUUUUCAAGAAAAUAUAGUGUAGACUACUAAAACUAAAUUACUUUGUUUAUAUAAUUUGUAAACAAUCUGAAUCAGAAUUAGUAAAUUCUUGUGCAUCACUUUACCAAAAAAUAAAAAUAAAAACCCACACAAAAUCCCUAAUAUUAAACAUAAAAUUACCUUCCGAUAAACUCCAGAAUUGCAUUACAGAUCAAACAAUAGACUAGCAUAAUAAGAAAACUAUCCAAUUAAAGUAAAGAGAAAACACUUCAAAGGAGUUGCCAUUUUGAACACAUGGUCAUUGCAAACAACAAGCAAAAUGAACAUAUUAAAUAUUUGAGCAAAAUAUCCACAAUCAAAACUAAGAAGAAAUAAUCAAUACACAGACACUUUUAAAACAAACAUACCUGCUUUAGAAAAACAGAUAAACCGAGCAGCACAUGCUCUCUCCUUGAUAUACUGCCAAAUUAAGACCAGGUGCAGCUUGAUGAAUUGGUUAGCAUGUGCUCUAAUGCUUCUGUGAACGUUCUCAUACCUUAACCUCUCCUCUGAAGCUCGUUGAAUAUGCAUCGAUGGUUGCACAUGCACCAAAUAGCUCUUGUGGACUGAAGUGAAUGUUGCUUUUGCUCCAGAUAUUGGAUUUUCUGUGUGUAUUGUAGCAUAAAUUUGUUUUUUGGUCAAUCUGAUCUGAAUUGCUGUUCAUUUUUUUUAACUUGUCCACUUCUGAACUUAUUUGUUGUUUAAUCUACAUUCUAUUUCAGCUGUAUUUGCUUUUCUUGCUCUGCACUAUAUUACAUAAACAUUCUUGGUUAGCAUGCAAGUUAGUGCUUGAUCUGUGUUCCUUUUUAUAUUAAAACAUAUUUUCAAAAUUAUGGUGACUGUGUUCCAUAUGUUGGCAGAGUGUGAUAACAUGCUCUCACGGAUGAUGUCACAGGUUUUAAUUUUUGUUUGGGGUGACAUUAUAAUAGAACAUCUGAUCAACAAUACAGGAAUAACUAUACAUAUUUUCAGUUGCUCAUCCUGCUCUGCAUUACACUUGCUACCCAUAUUGCUGGUUGCAGAUAUUUUAUAUUCUUUAUAUAUUCAUAGUUAUUGAAAGACAUUAUAUUUGCGGUACUGUAUUGUUUUGUUACAUUUGAUAUCAUAACCCCCAACAAGUUUCACUUCACUGAUGCAGAUGUGUGCUUGUGUUUUCAGAAAUAUAUUAAACCAUGAAAAAAAUUAUAUAUACAAACUAUUUAAAGAUAUUUCUUAUUAUAAAAUAUAUUUUGUUUCAGAGUCAAUUUCAUGUUCUUAGAAAAGUUUUUCAUGAUUUUGCUUAAUUAUUAUGCUAAUGUUAAUGAACUACUAACCAAAUACUGAACAAUGUACACAAAAAUCAUUAAGAUUAAAUAAGAUUAAAUAAUAAAAAAACAGCAACAUUUGUCAGUCAACAUUUCGAAAAUGAUAUAUAAAAGUAUACAAACAAGUUAAUAAUAACAUAUGGCAUGUUGUCCAUAUCAUGUGAACCUGUCAUUAUCAUGUGAACACAAUAAACUAACGAGCUCAUUAACAAUUUCCUCAUUACUCAAUUAAGCUGCACAAUUGCAAAAAAACAUUUAAAUAAGCUAUUUUAUUUGGUUCAAACUUGACCACGUGGUGCAUCAACCGUAGUGAAGUCAGCUGAAGAACAGAAAACGGUAAGAAUUUGUUCUUAUGUGUGUAAAAUGUUUUCAGUUUCUUAAACCCUACAUGUACUAAUUCUAUAUCCUAUCUUAAUUUUUUUCUAGAUAUGGCAAGUACUUCAACUGCCAGUCUUAACCAGUCUGUUACUGGCUACAUACACAAUGUCACACCUCUGCGUCAUGGGGUUAAAAGACAGUACUUUGAAGGAGUCUUACAACAACGCCACAAAGUAUGUAAGGUUGUGGUGUUCAAGGUGGAGCUCCAUUCGAAGUUUCUGAAGAUUGAGAAAGACCGAUGCCCGGUCCAACUCAAUAAUGUGGUUGUCCAGCCAUCAAGGAGAGAAGAUGGAAUGGACAUACUCUUCACCCACCAAUCAAAAUGGUGUUGUUUGACUUCAAUUGACUACCCUUACAACCCCACCAUAAUGGUCACCAUUCAAGACCAAACAAUUAGUCAGAUUCUGCAAAUCGACAUGGAAUACCACAGAAUCCAGGAACUGAAUUCAUAAUUAAAUAUCAGGUUAACAUCACCGCAAAGCUGAUCCAGAGGGAAAGCGAAGGACAUGCCUUCCUUCAGGAUGAUGUCUUGUUAGAAAAGGCAGUCUACACCAUAGCGGACACCACAGGAAUAAUGGAGCUCACUGUCUGGGGCGAGCAAAACCUUCAGCUGGACUCCUGGUUUUAUAUAACCAAUGUUUCUUUACGGAUGUUCCGAGGUACAAAAUUCCUAUCCACAACAAAAGACACAAAAUUCACACCCACCACAUGCACUGACCCCACAUUUCCACUACAGCCCACCACAUCUGAACAGGUCACUGGAAACAUAAUUGGCGCCAAAGUUACCAUAAUAUACAUUUGUCCACUUAAGCAUAAGUUGCAUAACAUGGCACUUUCCUGCACAAGAGUCCUGUGUGACAAGUGCGAUAUAUUUUACAGAACUGACGCCAUUACACUACACACACACGCCAGGCUCAAAAUAACCACCACAACUUCAGAUGAAAUAAAAUCUGUUAACAUCGAGAACCACGUUCUCCGAGCCACGAUCCAAAUUCCAAAAAACGCCACAACCGACACAAUAAUGGACUCUAUUUUGGACCUCCCCACUAUGAACAUAACAAUACACAACCACUACAUUACCCACCUGGCAUAUCCAGAGAAAUCUCAUACAGACACCCCACAACCCAACAGUCCACUUGUGCACUUCUCCCCACCUACACAACCACCAGCUCCAAGUGAAGACCUAGCGGAACUUGACCUUUUUAUGGUGGAAUCUCCACUAGACACCCAGCCAAAAGUAAACCAGCCAACUCCCCCAUCUCCCACUUCUAUUGCUGAUACCCCAAAAUAAGUAAUGCCUUGUUGGUUUUAAAUUGAAACUUAUUUUUUUUUUUUUUUUUUUUUUACUGGAAAUGUGGUGUUUUAAGUUUCAAUCCUGUGUACGCUUGAGGUAGCUCUUUUUAUCCUCCCUAAUUUAAAUUGUGAAUAUUGAAGAUGUUGUAUACAUUUCCAAAAAUAUAUUUCUGUCUUUGACUAUGGGGAUGUGUUAUUUCUGUUAAUAAAGAACCCUCACUUCAAUGCUUUACUCUUGUUUGCUUUAUUAAAUUGCUGCAAAGUUGGUUUGUCAAUACACAAUGGGAGAAGUUUAAUUUUGUUUAACCUUUUAAUCUGUUAGUGUCUUUACUUGAGACCGAGAUGAGAAUUUUGUCAGACUUGUUAAAGCUACUUGUACACUAUUUUGAAGUCCUUUCCAAUAUCUUUUAAACUUAACAUGGCUGAACAAGAGGUGCAUGUCCUGAAAGACUACAUGCUAUGCACUCUAUAGUUUGACAUUUUGCAAGUUUAUUGCAAAAGUUAACCUAUUUGAAACCCCUUUUAAUUACUAAGAAAUAACUACUGGAAUUGAGCAUGCCUAUGUUUGACUUCACAUUAAUUGCAAACUGCAUGACCAUUAACCAGAAGUUAUUAAAUUGUGUACUGAACAAGGUCAACCUCAAAUCGGUUCAGAGGCUAUCUAGUCUUAAGUUUAAUUUAAUCGAAACCAAAUUUGGUACACUCCAUCUACACCAUUAUCUGAGGGUUCAAUGGGAACAAUGCCACCUAUGGGUGUUGAGAUACCAAAAAUGCACAUUUGCCUAACUCCUGAAAAGUCAGUCAGAAAAUUAUGAUCUUGGUGCCUAUGGAUUCUGUGGGUUAUGCCAACUCGGUCUCAUUCAUCAUUUUCCAACAUGACGUCUGUCCACAAUAUUGAGUUGAAUAAACUUUUUUUUUUUUUUUUUUUUGCAAUUACACCUUUGAAAUCUGGUUCAAUUUUGUAAAAUUUUAUAUCUUAAGACCAGAUUUAUGAUAUUCACUCCCAUUCCCGACAUGUACCUCUUGGAUGUUGACCGUGCCUGUGCUUGUUGAUUUAUGCUAGUUAGCUUAGCAUGCUAAUUAGCUAAAAUGCUAACACGUUUCUAUUGACUCUAAUGGGUCU